rnacentral:ncRNA from 1 species
GAAAACGCAGCGACGGAGAGAGUACGCACGCAGUUCCACAGCAAAGAGAGAAGCUUCACCGGCUGAAAGGGCUUCCGCGUGGGUGUGUGCCGAAGUUCGCUCCUGAGCGGCCUGCCCGAACGGCUUCUAUUAGGGCAGGACGGCGCGCCCCGUUACGGCGUUUGAGAGCCGCCCUUCUUUGUGCAGGGCGGAAACCGGGUGGUACCGCGGAGCAUUGGAUUUGCAAAGGCUUCGUCCCUUUU